rnacentral:rRNA from 1 species
CCUACGGGUGGCAGCAGUGAGGAAUAUUGGUCAAUGGGCGGAAGCCUGAACCAGCCAAGUAGCGUGCAGGAUGACGGCCCUACGGGUUGUACACUGCUUUUAUACGGGAAUAACGCGCCUUACGUGUAGGGCUUUGCAUGUACCGUAUGAAUAAGGACCGGCUAAUUCCGUGCCAGCAGCCGCGGUAAUACGGAAGGUCCGGGCGUUAUCCGGAUUUAUUGGGUUUAAAGGGAGCGUAGGCCGCAUGUCAAGCGUGCUGUGAAAUGUCCGGGCUCAACCCGGGCCUUGCAGCGCGAACUGGCGUGCUUGAGUCCGCGGAAGGCAGGCGGAAUUCGUCGUGUAGCGGUGAAAUGCUUAGAUAUGACGAAGAACCCCGAUUGCGAAGGCAGCUUGCUGCAGCGGAACUGACGUUGAGGCUCGAAAGCGUGGGGAGCAAACAGGAUUAGAUACCCCAGUAGUC